rnacentral:rRNA from 1 species
GAUGAACGCUGGCGGCGUGCCUAAUACAUGCAAGUCGAGCGAACGGACGAGAAGCUUGCUUCUCUGAUGUUAGCGGCGGACGGGUGAGUAACACGUGGAUAACCUACCUAUAAGACUGGGAUAACUUCGGGAAACCGGAGCUAAUACCGGAUAAUAUUUUGAACCGCAUGGUUCAAAAGUGAAAGACGGUCUUGCUGUCACUUAUAGAUGGAUCCGCGCUGCAUUAGCUAGUUGGUAAGGUAACGGCUUACCAAGGCAACGAUGCAUAGCCGACCUGAGAGGGUGAUCGGACACACUGGAACUGAGACACGGUCCAGACUCCUACGGGAGGCAGCAGUAGGGAAGCUUCCGCAAUGGGCGAAAGCCUGACGGAGCAACGCCGCGUGAGUGAUGAAGGUCUUCGGAUCGUAAAACUCUGUUAUUAGGGAAGAACAUAUGUGUAAGUAACUGUGCACAUCUUGACGGUACCUAAUCAGAAAGCCACGGCUAACUACGUG